GCGCGUAGAGGGUACCGUCGGGCGGAGUGGGGUGGAAAUUCGUAUGGUGUGCUGCCAACAUAAUUAUUAAUUAAUUAUUAUUCUCGUUUACGUAUACUCGCGAGUUCAUAUCGUAUAAUAAUAUUAUUAUACACUACGACUCGUGCGGACUCAUUUUGUGCGUCGUCGUCGUCGUCGUGUCUGUACGAGGUAUUACUAUAUUAUAUUACUAUAUUAUUACGAGGUAUUGAGUAACUCAAACAUUACUGUGGUUCAUCAAUUGAAAAGAAAUUGCUGAUGUCCGCCAUCGCGGCUACAACGAAGUCUUCAAUCUGACACUCGUUGGUUCCUUUCAGUAUCCGGAAGUAUCCGCUUUCACCCCACCAAAGUCCCCACGAGUUUGAAACGAUCUAUAUAGAAUAACAACAAGAAAACUCUUACUGGUAACAUAUUAUUGCUAGUUGCCGUAUUUUUGUAUUUUAUGCAAGUACCGUGAUUUUUUUUUAAAGCAAUGUAAUUAUUUUUUGAUACAUUUUUGUUUCAUGUCAUUACCUUUUUUACUAACAUAAAACAUUUGUCUAUCAUCCAAGUUCAUCGUAUAUAAAUAUAUAAUAUUAUGCACCUACCCAAUA